AAAAAAAUUGGAUUGAGGCUGCGAUCCACGCUCUGGGGCCUACCUGGUCCAAAGGUUGUCCAUCGCCAUUCAGCGGGGCAAUGCUGCCAGCUUGAUGGGCACUUUUGGUCC